rnacentral:rRNA from 1 species
GAAUAUUGGUCAAUGGGCGCAAGCCUGAACCAGCCAUCCCGCGUGCAGGAUGAAGGUCCUAUGGAUUGUAAACUGCUUUUAUCAGGGAAGAAACGCCUUCAUUUAUGAGGGUCUGACGGUACCUGAGGAAUAAGCACCGGCUAACUCCGUGCCAGCAGCCGCGGUAAUACGGAGGGUGCGAGCGUUAUCCGGAAUCACUGGGUUUAAAGGGUGCGUAGGCGGGGAAUUAAGUCAGUGGUGAAAGCCUGUCGCUUAACGAUAGAAUUGCCAUUGAUACUGAUUUUCUUGAAUUGGGUUGAGGUUAGCGGAAUGUGACAUGUAGCGGUGAAAUGCAUAGAUAUGUCAUGGAACACCAAUUGCGAAGGCAGCUAGCUGGGCCUUGAUUGACGCUGAGGCACGAAAGCGUGGGUAGCGAACAGG